GCAUAGGGAAUUCUGCCCUCCGAAGGCAGAGGUCACAGGUUCGAAUCCUGUCGGGUGCGCCA
rnacentral:tRNA from 1 species